AAAGAUAAUAAAAAUGAUAUCGGCCACGUUUUUAUUUCAGACCAAUAAAAUACUUCGCCAGAAAUAUUUUAUGUAAUAAUUCAGAAGGAAAGAAACGUCUCUACAGAGCAGUCAAAACAAAAGUGUGUGGUACAAGUUUGACACUGGUACAAAGUAUUGUUUUAGACGUUUGCAGGCGUAAAAAUUAUAUGCUGGACCAAUGGGUGAAGGAAUUAUUCGAUAUUGACGGAAAUGACGUCAUUUCCCAUCACGAGAGGAAUCUUUUCACUUGAAGAACGUUGUCACGACCUAGCACGGUUUGAAUCGUACAGUUGAAGAAAAUCUUCGACACCAAGAAAUAAUGAGCGCAUUUGCAGAGGCUUAAACUCAAAAAGCUGAAUCUGUUAACUGUAUACAAUGGUUCUAAUUAUGACAAUUUGUCAAGAAAGUCAGAUCAAUCCCGGCCAUUCAGAACAGGUUAUGUGCAGUAAUGCUCAGAAUUGGUUGUCCGGGAGUUAUUUUUAGAGUAUUGAUAUUAUUACAGCACCAAAACAGUAUGUGUCAUACUACUUACAGUUAGGAUUAUCCGACAAAAAUUUGGCUUUGUCAUUAAUUUUGCAAUGAAGAAAUACAAUAUUAUCAAUAUAUCCUGCUUAAAGAAAUAAACAAACAUCUGAAGAAAAAGCUCAUCAAGUUCUUGGUAAACAUUCUUAAUUAUUAGAUGCUGAAGUCGUCUACUUUAAAUCUUAGGGGCGAUGAUGUAAUUUGCUUUCAGCAAUGUCGUAAAAUAACAGACUUCAUAACCGGGCUUACAACGUUUAUUUUUGCAAUGUCUGUAGACCUUCAUUAUAUUCUAUGUUAUUAUCAAGUACUGCACAUGACAUUUAUGAUAAGCGUUUUAAAACUACCUCAAAGCAUAUCAGUAUUAACCAAGAACCGAUGAAUUUCAUGUGUGUGUGUUUUUGUUUGUUUGUUUUUGCUUUGUUGUAUCUGUUUAAUAAACAAUUUAAGAAACAAUUGUUUGGAAAUUUAUUCUCUUAUUUAAGAAGAUCAAGUAAAUGUUGAAUCAAGUAUAUGUUUUGUCAC